rnacentral:rRNA from 1 species
GACGAACGCUGGCGGCGUGCUUAACACAUGCAAGUCGAACGGUAAGGCUCCAGCUUGCUGGGGUACACGAGUGGCGAACGGGUGAGUAACACGUGGGUGACCUGCCCUGCACUUCGGGAUAAGCCUGGGAAACUGGGUCUAAUACCGGAUAGGACCGCACCGUGAGGGUGUGGUGGAAAGUUUUUUCGGUGUGGGAUGGGCCCGCGGCCUAUCAGCUUGUUGGUGGGGUAAUGGUCUACCAAGGCGGCGACGGGUAGCCGGCCUGAGAGGGUGGACGGCCGCAUUGGGACUGAGGCACGGCCCAGACUCCUACGGGAGGCAGCAGUGGGGAAUAUUGCACAAUGGGCGGAAGCCUGAUGCAGCGACGCCGCGUGGGGGAUGACGGCCUUCGGGUUGUAAACUCCUUUCACCAUCGACGAAGGGUUUCUGACGGUAGAUGGAGAAGAAGCACCGGCUAACUACGUGCCAGCAGCCGCGGUAAUACGUAGGGUGCGAGCGUUGUCCGGAAUUACUGGGCGUAAAGAGCUCGUAGGUGGUUUGUCGCGUCGUCUGUGAAAUUCCGGGGCUUAACUCCGGGCGUGCAGGCGAUACGGGCAUAACUUGAGUACUGUAGGGGAGACUGGAAUUCCUGGUGUAGCGGUGAAAUGCGCAGAUAUCAGGAGGAACACCGGUGGCGAAGGCGGGUCUCUGGGCAGUAACUGACGCUGAGGAGCGAAAGCAUGGGGAGCGAACAGGAUUAGAUACCCUGGUAGUCCAUGCCGUAAACGGUGGGCGCUAGGUGUGGGUUUCCUUCCACGGGAUCCGUGCCGUAGCUAACGCAUUAAGCGCCCCGCCUGGGGAGUACGGCCGCAAGGCUAAAACUCAAAGGAAUUGACGGGGGCCCGCACAAGCGGCGGAGCAUGUGGAUUAAUUCGAUGCAACGCGAAGAACCUUACCUGGGCUUGACAUAUACAGGAUCGCGCCAGAGAUGGUGUUUCCCUUGUGGCUUGUAUACAGGUGGUGCAUGGUUGUCGUCAGCUCGUGUCGUGAGAUGUUGGGUUAAGUCCCGCAACGAGCGCAACCCUUGUCUUAUGUUGCCAGCACGUUGUGGUGGGGACUCGUAAGAAACUGCCGGGGUUAACUCGGAGGAAGGUGGGGAUGACGUCAAAUCAUCAUGCCCCUUAUGUCCAGGGCUUCACACAUGCUACAAUGGUCGGUACAGUGGGUUGCCAGUCCGUGAGGGCGAGCUAAUCCCGCAAAGCCGGUCUCAGUUCGGAUCGGGGUCUGCAACUCGACCCCGUGAAGUCGGAGUCGCUAGUAAUCGCAGAUCAGCAACGCUGCGGUGAAUACGUUCCCGGGCCU